UACGUAGGGGGCAAGCGUUGUCCGGAUUUAUUGGGCGUAAAGAGCGUGUAGGCGGCUUGGCAAGUCUGCUGUGAAAACUCGAGGCUCAACCUCGAGCUGUCGGCAGAAACUGCUUGGCUAGAGUCCGGAAGAGGAGAGUGGAAUUCCUGGUGUAGCGGUGAAAUGCGCAGAUAUCAGGAAGAACACCUAUGGCGAAGGCAGCUCUCUGGGACGGUACUGACGCUGAGACGCGAAAGCGUGGGGAGCGAACAGG
rnacentral:rRNA from 1 species